UACGGAGGGUGCAAGCGUUAUCCGGAUUCACUGGGCUUAAAGGGUGCGUAGGUGGGCAGGUAAGUCAGUGGUGAAAUCUCUGGGCUUAACCCGGAAACUGCCGUUGAUACUAUCUGGCUUGAAUAUAGUGGAGGUGAGCGGAAUAUGUCAUGUAGCGGUGAAAUGCUUAGAUAUGACAUAGAACAUCGAUUGCGAAGGCAGCUCGCUGCGCUAUGAUUGACACUGAGGCACGAAAGCGUGGGGAUCAAACAGG
rnacentral:rRNA from 1 species